CCUCAGGUCAGAGAAGACUACCCGCUGGACUUAAGCAUAUCACUAAGCGGAGGAAAAGAAACUAACUAGGAUUCCCCCAGUAACUGUGAGUGAAGAGGGAAGAGCUCAUCAUUGGAAUCUGGCAGCGUCGCGCUGUCCGAGUUGUAGAUGAGAAGAGUAGGCCAUGUGGGCUGCAUGGUGUCCAAGUACAAUAGGCCGUCAGUGGGACAUCAUAGAGGGUGACAAUCCCGUCCUUGACACCAAUGUACGAGUCCUUUACGAUGCCUAUCUCGGAGAGUCGAGCAGUUUGGGAUUUGCUGCUUAAACAUGGGAGGUAGAUUCCUUCCAAAGCUAAAUACAGGCAAGAGACCGAUAGAGAACAAGUACCGCAAGGGAAAGAUGAAAUAGAACUCUGUGAAGGGAGUCAAAAGACGUGAAAUUGUUGCGAGAGAAGCGAUUCAAGUCAGCGUAGCUGGACCCAUCAAGCCUCGCGCUUUGGACCAGCUUUGCCAGCGGUCUUGUCCCUAGAGACUUGACUAAGGUGCCCUGCCCGGUCUGACGGGCAGACCUC
rnacentral:rRNA from 1 species